rnacentral:rRNA from 1 species
AGCGAACGCUGGCGGCAGGCCUAACACAUGCAAGUCGAACGGAUCCUUCGGGAUUAGUGGCGGACGGGUGAGUAACACGUGGGAACGUGCCCUUUGGUUCGGAACAACCCAGGGAAACUUGAGCUAAUACCGGAUGUGCCCUUCGGGGGAAAGAUUUAUCGCCAUUGGAGCGGCCCGCGUCUGACUAGCUAGUUGGUGAGGUAACGGCCCACCAAGGCGACGAUCAGUAGCUGGUCUGAGAGGAUGAUCAGCCACACUGGGACUGAGACACGGCCCAGACUCCUACGGGAGGCAGCAGUGGGGAAUCUUGCGCAAUGGGCGAAAGCCUGACGCAGCCAUGCCGCGUGAAUGAUGAAGGUCUUAGGAUUGUAAAAUUCUUUCAGCGGGGACGAUAAUGACGGUACCCGCAGAAGAAGCGCCGGCUAACUUCGUG